rnacentral:rRNA from 1 species
GGGGCCCGCACAAGCAGCGGAGCAUGUGGCUUAAUUCGACGCAACGCGAAGAACCUUACCAGGCUUGACAUGCAGGGAAAAGCGGCGGAAACGUCGUGUCCGAAAGGGCCCUGCACAGGUGGUGCAUGGCUGUCGUCAGCUCGUGUCGUGAGAUGUUGGGUUAAGUCCCGCAACGAGCGCAACCCUCGUCGUAUGUUAUAUGUGUCAUACGAGACUGCCGGUAAAAGCCGGAGGAAGGUGAGGAUGAUGUCAAGUCAGCAUGACCUUUAUAUCCAGGGCUACACACACGCUACAAUGGUCUGUACAAUGGGUAGCCAAGCCGCGAGGCGGAGCCAAUCCUGAAAGCAGGCCUCAGUUCAGAUUGCAGUCUGCAACUCGACUGCAUGAAGCCGGAGUUGCUAGUAACCGCAGGUCAGCAAUACUGCGGUGAAUACGUUCCCGGGUCUU